rnacentral:rRNA from 1 species
GUGCAGGAUGAMGGYCUAUGGUUKUAACUSCUUUWUAUAGGAAGAACACUCUUCGUGUADGAGYUUGACGGUAYAGUWGAAUUAAWGAUCSGSYUAACUCCGUGCCAGCAGCCGCGGUAAUACGGAGGAUCCAAGCGUUAUCCGGAAUCAUUGGGUUUAAAGGGUCCGUAGGCGGUUUAGUAAGUCAGUGGUGAAAGCCCAUCGCUCAACGGUGGAACGGCCAUUGAUACUGCUAGACUUGAAUUAUUAGGAAGUAACUAGAAUAUGUAGUGUAGCGGUGAAAUGCUUAGAGAUUACAUCGGAAUACCAAUUGCGAAGGCAGGUUACUACUAAUUGAUUGACGCUGAUGGACGAAAGCGUGGGUACGAACAGGAUUAGAUACCCUGGUAGYCCACVCCGUAAACGAUGGAUACUAGCUGUUNGGAGCAAUUUCAGUGGCUAAGCGAA